rnacentral:rRNA from 1 species
UACGUAGGGUGCGAGCGUUGUCCGGAAUUAUUGGGCGUAAAGAGCUCGUAGGCGGUGUGUCGCGUCGGCCGUGAAAACCUGGGGCUCAACUCUGGCGUGCGGUCGAUACGGGCAUCACUUGAGUUCGGCAGGGGAGACUGGAAUUCCUGGUGUAGCGGUGAAAUGCGCAGAUAUCAGGAGGAACACCGGUGGCGAAGGCGGGUCUCUGGGCCGAUACUGACGCUGAGGAGCGAAAGCGUGGGGAGCGAACAGG